rnacentral:sRNA from 1 species
UACGAGUGAGGGCCUCUGGGUCCAACCUCCCACCCAUGUUUAUUGUACCUUGUUGCUUCGGCGGGCCCGCCUCACGGCCGCCGGGGGGCUUCUGCCCUCUGGCCCGCGCCCGCCGAAGACACCAUUGAACACUGUCUGAAGAUUGCAGUCUGAGCAAUUAGCUAAAUAAGUUAAAACUUUCAACAACGGAUCUCUUGGUUCCGGCAUCGAUGAAGAACGCAGCGAAAUGCGAUACGUAAUGUGAAUUGCAGAAUUCAGUGAAUCAUCGAGUCUUUGAACGCACAUUGCGCCCCUUGGUAUUCCGGGGGGCAUGCCUGUCCGAGCGUCAUUGCUGCCCUCAAGCACGGCUUGUGUGUUGGGCCCCGUCCUCCUUCCCGGGGGACGGGCCCGAAAGGCAGCGGCGGCACCGCGUCCGGUCCUCGAGCGUAUGGGGCUUUGUCACCCGCUCUUGUAGGCCCGGCCGGCGCUUGCCGACAACCAUCAAUCUUUUUUCAGGUUGACCUCGGAUCAGGUAGGGAUACCCGCUGAACUUAAGCAUAUCAAUAAGCGGAGGAA